GGUGGAAGGACCAUCUGAUGAAGACAAGUCGGGAGGACCAACUGUUGGACGAGUUACCCAAUUCCAUCCAGAGAUUGUCCUGUCUUGGAAGCGAUGUCACUGAUGAAACAUUCGGCUGACGUGGACAUGGUCAUCAAAAAGAUAAAGCUGACAUUUGCCCAUCGGCAUAACAUGGUCCUGGACCAACAGCAGUCAAGCAACAUUCUGUCUUAUUUUCCUCGUUUUAAAGACAUCAAUGGCUUGGUUGAACAGGAUUUUGUUCUAAUGUUUGGAGAGGAUUAAUCAUACAAGUUUCUGGAGAAGUGGUCAACCACAUUCAAAAAGAAGAUCUUCCAACAAUGCAGAAAGGUUCCCUCCAUUUUUGAGCUUGAGGAACUCCUGAUAGCAGCUGACCCUCCUGAGGAUGGGGCUGAAGUGAACGUUGACUUUGGUCGGAAGAGGCCAGGAGAAGUUUCUGCAUCCCGGGCUGAGAAGCAUCUUGUGGUCUUCAACAAGACUGGAUAAAGCAUCCUAGAACAUCUUGACACCAUUAUUACCAGCACUCAACCCUAUCUCCUGGCUGUUGGAGUGAGGAAGAAUACAAUCCACGAGUUCUUCAUAAUUCUCGACAAGAAUGCCGUACCUUGCAGGUCACACUCCUCUCUUGGUGCUUUUGAUGAACUGUUUAAAGCACACUUUGUGUUUGUGACAUCAUACCACACCAUGCUCCGCAACAUGUACACAUGCAUGCCUUACUCCAAACCAUUUGAUGUUCAAAUGGCGUAUGGAACAUCAUGUUCCAUAUUAUAUGAUGUCCCAUAUUGCCAUUUCAUGCAGACCUAAGUUCACCCUUUAUGUGUUC